UGCCAGAUGGAAAUGGAGCUGCUGGAUGGAGUGGAGAUGAACCGGCCUACACAGCUGGUGUGAGGGGUAAUGGUGAGUCAUUGGCAUGUGCAUAAGUUCUCUUAUAGGUUCUGAAAGUCCAGCAGUAAAUAAGAAAAAUAAGAGCUCUAGCCGUAUGGAUCAUUUCAGGUAAUACUUUCAGGAUGUGCCAGCCUAUAGACAUUUAUAAUAGAAGUUAUCAGAAGUGUCCCCUGGAGAGCCUGCUAACUUCC